AAAGUAAAGGAAGAUGAAAGUCUUUAGUUUGUCACCAAGAGGAAAUGAUUCUAUAUUUUAUUUUCCUAAGAUGAAGAACUCUUAAAGUUACAAUCAAAGUUCUCAUUACAUGACUAUAUAAGAACCUAGUUACAUGAAACAUUUCAUGGGCUUUUUUAGACUUAUCAUGAGAUUCGAUUUUGGGUUUCAUAUGGAUCCACUAAUAGGAUAUAUAUAUAUAUAUAUA
rnacentral:sRNA from 1 species